UGGGGGAUAUUGCACAAUGGGCGAAAGCCUGAUGCAGCGACGCCGCGUGGGGGAUGAAGGCUUUCGGGUUGUAAACCUCUUUCGCUAUCGAACAAGGCCCGCUUAGGGUGGGUUGAGGGUAGGUGGAGAAGAAGCGCCGGCUAACUACGUGCCAGCAACCGCGGUAAUACGUAGGGCGCGAGCGUUGUCCGGAAUUAUUGGGCGUAAAGGGCUUGUAGGCGGCUUGUUGCGCCUGCUGUGAAAACGCGGGGCUUAACUUCGCGCGUGCAGUGGGUACGGGCAGGCUUGAGUGUGGUAGGGGUGACUGGAAUUCCAGGUGUAGCGGUGGAAUGCGCAGAUAUCUGGAGGAACACCGAUGGCGAAGGCAGGUCACUGGGCCAUUACUGACGCUGAGGAGCGAAAGCAUGGGUAGCGAACAGG
rnacentral:rRNA from 1 species